UUAAGUGAAGCUCAGAAGAGCAUUUAACUGUUAAUUAAAAGGUCGCAAAAUAUGCCACUUAAAC
rnacentral:tRNA from 1 species